UACGUAGGUGGCAAGCGUUAUCCGGAUUUAUUGGGCGUAAAGGGAACGCAGGCGGUCUUUUAAGUCUGAUGUGAAAGCCUUCGGCUUAACCGGAGUAGUGCAUUGGAAACUGGGAGACUUGAGUGCAGAAGAGGAGAGUGGAACUCCAUGUGUAGCGGGGAAAUGCGUAGAUAUAUGGAAGAACACCAGUGGCGAAAGCGGCUCUCUGGUCUGUAACUGACGCUGAGGUUCGAAAGCGUGGGUAGCAAACAGG
rnacentral:rRNA from 1 species